rnacentral:lncRNA from 1 species
CUGGCCUCGCCUGCUGUUGUCCAGGAGCGCACGUGCGCGGCGGGGGGGUUGUGAGAGAGUUAUGGACCUGAAGAUUGGAAGUGACCUGGCAAGGGAGAAGAAGGACAAGCAAGAGUGAAAGAGUAGCAAACCCUGAAGUGGUUCCAAGGGUUUACCUUGUGACCACAGAGACCCAUCUCUGCCAGAGAGGAACAAGCAUGCAGAGAAGAAUUCAAUAGCCUGGGUUGUUCCUGGGAUUGGUGAGCUUUAAAAUCUCCUGUGAUGUCAAGAAGAGGAAAGCCUUCACAUCCCAGGUUUGGCCAUCACAUCCCCGAAUUCAGCUGCAUUGGCUGAAUGUUAAAUGGUUUAUGCCCAGCUAGUGGGAAGGUGAAUAAUACGUAAAGGAGCUGGGAUCUACACAUACGUUGGAUGACACAGACAUUGUACUUCAGAGUCUCGAAGCAUUUUGGUAACGUUCCCCCUAUUGGUAUUUGUGCUCGUUCAGAGAAAGAAUAAAUGGAUUCCUUCUGUGUAUUCCAGAUGUUGGGGUUUUGAGCAAGCUCAAGGGUGCUGAUGCUCCUUGCUCUUGUUCUGAGCCAGCACUCCCCCUCCUUGGAAAGUAGCAUCCAAAUAACCUAUGAAUAAGUAAUUAAUCUUGCCAAGCCUGCAGAUGAACUGAAUGUUGUGAUUUCUGGCCAACUCUGCAGCCAUCUGAACUGGGUGCUUCACAGUUUGUAACCAAUUACCUUGUGGUCCUAAUAACACCUUUAGUGAUUCAAUACAUAUAUCCCAAUAAUGGCAACAUUCUCUUAAAAAAGAAAAAGCCUUCCCAGCUGUAAAAUAAUGUUACAUAAUUGCAUUUGUUAUGGUCUGAUUCUGUAUUCUCAAGGUGAGGGGCAGGAGUGGGGUUAGGGGAGACAGAUUCCUUCUGUCUCCAAAGCUGUCCGAGGUCUCAGACUGGCCUCCUUUCUCAGCCUUGGCACUGUCAUCUUCCGGACAGGAGCAUCUGGGCUCACUCCUGGCAUCUCGGAUCUAUUGCCCUGCAGUCCCCUCCGGGCACUGGAGCAGCGUCACGGUACAGACAAGUAGAGCCAGCACAGAGUGCAGCCACUGAGCCGACUGCAUUGCCUACCUAACCUUGAGGUUUAGAGCGAGUCUGGGAAUUUGAGCAAGGGAGAGAGAGAAAGCUUAUGUUCGUUCAUCCCCAAAUUGAAGGCUCAACAGCCGGCUUGAGAAAAAUGAGUUGCCGAAAGCCGAAAUUCUUCAGAGAGAAUUUUCCCAAAGUGACGUUUGACAUUGCCCUGUUUGUUUAUUUUCUUCCUGGCCAAAGGGCCAACUCCAUAUUGUGUCCUAAUUAAACAGGAUAACAAAAUAGAUUUUUGAAAAAGGUGCAUUGCGUGUGCGUAACAUUCUCCUAGCUAAUCUGGAUGCCCAGGGAGUAGCCUUUCUAAACAUUGAGCACUUUACACACAAGAAGAACUACUACUGAGCAACAUUUUGGGAAGUGGUCAGUAGUGCUGAAUCCCCGGGGCAAUCAUCGAAAUAAGCUUUCCAUAUUCUGUCCUCCCAGUGACAUUUUGGUUCAUUAGAUUCUAUCACAAUAAUUUAGAACCUUUGACUGUUCUCCCACUACAAGGCCACAAAGGUUUUUUUCUUUCUUUUUUUUUCAGACUCUAAAUCUUCACACCCGCCAUACCCAUCUACAUAUCUGCUUUUGAAUAGUCGGCCAGAUAGUAGUUCCUUUGCGGGUGUCCUAGUAGGGUGCCUCUCCACUUGCAGAAUUCUAGAUGUCAACUGCCCCGGGCUGUGACCUUGGGCCAUUCCUAUUCCUUUUCUACACUCCCUCCCAGGGCAGCCUCCUCCAGCCCUAGGCUUUAAAUAGCCUCCAUUCACUGAUGUAUAUCUUUAACCCUGACCUCUCACCAGUACUCCAGGCUCGUAUAUCCAGCUGCCUCCAUGACAUCUCUGUUUGCAUAUCUCAAACUUAACAUGUCCAGAGCAGAACUCUUGACUUUCCGUAUUAAAACCGAAACUCCAAAUUUCUUCCUUCAAGUCUUCUUCCUCUUAGAACCAAAACGACUCCUUCUCUCAAACACCACAUUCAUUUUUGCAGGAAAUCCUUCCACUUCUACUUUCAAAACAUAUCCCGAAUCCAAUCUCUUCCUUUAAUUGCUAGCACCCUGAAGUUUCUCCCCUGGGUGACUAACCCGUUCCCUGCUUCCAUUAUCCCCCCUCCAGCCUCAAUUCAGCAACCAGAGAGUUCUUGCAAAACAUGAGUAAGAUGUCGUUAUCCUUGCUCAAAACUCUUGAAUGCUCUGUGCUUCUAAUCACACCACCAUAAAAAUCCAAAGUCUUGGAGUUCCCGUCAUGGCAUGGUGGAAACGAAUCCGGCUAGGAACCAUGAGGCUGUGGGUUCCAUCCCUGGCCUCGCUCAGUGGGUUAAGGAUCCAGCAUUGCCGUCAGCUGUGGUGUAGGUUGCAGACAUGGCUUGGAUCUGGCGUUGCUGUAGCUGUGGUGUAGGCUGGCAGCUUUAUCUCCAAUUCAAUCCCUAACUUGGAAACUUCCCUAUGCCACAGGUGUGGCCCUAAAAAGCAAAAAAAAAAAAAAAAUUCCAAAGUCCUUUUCCCAGCCUCCCAAGUCCCUUCAGCCACCAUGCACCUCUCCAGUCCUUCUCUCUUAACAUUUGCUCUGCUCUGGCUAGGUGGCCAGCCUCCACCUAGUCCUUAAACCAGGUAGGGCCACCCCUUCCAGCUUUUAAAUUAACCUUCUCAACUGCUAGCUAAAAUAGUUUUGCCUCUUCUGUCCCCUUCCUCUGCCUUUUUUUAAAUAGCAUUUAUCACCCCUUGAUUGUGAUCUAUAAUCAAUUAUUUAUUAUUUACCUCUCUUCCUAAAAUGAACAUUCCAUUAGAGCAGGAUUUUUGUUCACUAUUGUAUCCAUGUUGCCAAAUAAACGAAUAAAUGAUACUGUCAGAGUACAGAAUCUAUUUCCUCACUUAUUUUCUGCCCAUUUUUUAUUUUGGCCACACUUGAGGCAUGCAGAUAUUCCCAGGCCAGGGAUCGAACCCGUGCCAUGGCAGCAACCCAAGCCACAGCAGUGACAACACUGGAUCUUUAACCAUCUGUGCCUCAAGGGAACUCCUCUGCUUUUCUUUAUUGCUAUAGAUAUAUCUUUAUUCUUAUUACAAGUGAAAAUAAGUGCACAUUAUAAAAUUAUAUAAUUUGCAAUUCACUGCAAAUCAAAUCAAAACAAAUUAUACCAAAAAGCUAAGACUAUAUCAAGAUUCAGCAGAGAGGGGUAUGUAUUAAUGAAUAAUUUAAUGCCUAUAAAGCAAAAUCAUGGUCUAACCUUGCAAUUAGGUUUUGAUAUGUAGAAGUUAAAGGCACAGAAAAUCAAAGGCAAAUUAUAUGAAGUGCCUUUUCAUUCACAACUGAAAUAAUCGCCAUGUUGAAAAGGAAUGUGGUAAAUUUAAGAAGAAGCCAAUUGUCCCUUUCAUUUUUUAUCUUGUCCCACUAUGUAACCUUGAACAAGUCAGAUAACAUCUCUGUUUUUCCAUCUGUAAAACAGGCCUGCUCAAUUUCUUCUUUGGUUGGGUAUCAUAUAAUUGUUAUGAAAAAGCUUUGGAAGAAAGGAAAUUUGGAAAUUAUCCAUGAUUAUUAUGUUUCCCAAACUUCUUUGUCAAACAUUUUGAAAUGAAGAAGAAAUAAAUAUAUUUUUG